rfam:Dipodomys ordii contig_60927, whole genome shotgun sequence.
GGUGGCUCAGUGGUAGAGUACUUGCCUUGCAUGCAUGAGGCCCUGGGUUCGAUUCCCCAGCACCA